ACACCUCAACUCCCAUGGUUCGCCAUGGUGAGCUUGGACUUUGGGGGUUUUGCUGGCCCAUGGUCAGCUCCUCUCAAAUGAAUCAGCCUGCCAGUGUUUGGUGGCAUGACAGGUGUGAUAAAUAUCUACGCUUGCGGUUGCCCACCAGGUAACCUUCAGCAAUGGAGGUUCGCUGGGGCUCAUAGACGUCUCUCCCUCGGCGAGGACAGCUUUUUUAAC
rnacentral:misc_RNA from 1 species